GGGAGAAUAAUUUUUUACCCAUCUCUAUAAGCCGUAGAUGAAGAUAUUUGCUUCACAAAUAUAUACUGCAUAUACUAUCUUGGCAUUGCGCUCACCUUAUCCUUUUUUCCAACACCUUGUAUAUAGCAUAUAUCUUUUACUUUGCUUAAGCAUUUUGGGUAUGAUGAGUUUUAUUACAACAAAUUCAGUGUUCAUUUCAUGAAUUUAACUCACAUUGCUCAUGAAGAGAAGGUUUAUUGGAAUAUGUAUGAUAUUGAUAGGAAUUGGUUGCAAGAAUAAUGAUAUAAUUCAACUUGAAUCUAAAAGCAUUGGCCAAAUAAAUCAUUGGGCCCCCUUGAUCCUAACCGAAGAUGAAGACUAUGAGAAAGUAGAUGAGAGUUUCUUUGUUCCUCUUGGAAGACUCUUGGGAACUCUGACUAGUAACACCUCCAUCAUCCAUAACUGCAGAAGGGUUACAAUUGCACACAAAUGAUGAUCAGAAUGGUAUAAAGAAUAAUGAUGGGCAAAUAUCAUGAAUAAUAAAGGUUACAAUCGGAUCAAAUAUAUGAUAAAAUUCCAAGAAAAAAGACUAAUACAUGAGAGUUACACAUGAGAUGGCUCUAAAUAGCUUCAAACCAGAUGUCAUAUUCCUUUUUUCAGUUACACAUUCUAGUAAGUAUAAAUGGCAAUAUUCAUAACCAACCUUAAAUGGGGCAGUCAGAAGAAGAUAGAAAAGCAAUGCACGUUAUAUUUCUUGGCAACCUAAGGGGUUCCACACAUCAAAAGGAAGCCACAAUCAAUUAUAAAAGGCAAGAGACAUAUCCACAAGAAGGUGGGAUAUACAACACAAAGAGAGACGAUCAUCACAACGAAAUCAGGAGCAAAAAUCAAUACACACCACAUAGAAAAAGAGCAGAACAAAAAAAGCAAUAUACACAUAUCAUACCAAAAUCAGAGAGCAUACAUACAUGGACAUAUACACAUGAUAUAUACAGACAACAUAGAAGAAAGAGAGCUAUCACACAAUACAUAGGAUAUACAAAAAACAUAGAGGUUGGAGGAAUUGAAUUGGAAUUGUAAGGCAGUCUCAGCAGAGGAAAAGGACCAACAACAAGCAAAGCAUUAGUGGUCCAUUGUAUUUUGUUAGUGAAGCAAAAUUAUCACAACAAGCAGGCAACCCAGGUUUAGCAGACUGUUGAUUGAAAACUACUGCAUUGUUGAAUAAAGAGGGAUAGCAUCAGAAAGUUAAAAUGCCAGCUCAAAAAGCUUUGAUGAUACAUCCUCACAUAAGCAAUUCAAGAAAAGAAGGUACCAAAAUCAACCAUGAGUUCCUAAAAAACAAAUCAAGUGGCUCAGGUACGUCAUCUUUCACAUUUUAAUUUGUAGCUGACUUACAUGUUUGCAUAAAGUGUAGUUUUCCAAUGGAUUGCAGGAAGACAUGGCAAUAAACUUUUAGAAAGUUUUUUCCCAUAUUUAGGAAGGAAGACAAUCCCAGCAAGCACUAAGUGCUCAAUUCAAGAAGAAGAAGAAUCUACAACACUUUGACAGAUUCAGCAAAGAAAAUGGCAAGUGAACUCAGGAAGGUAGACUGAUGAGGAGAAGCCAUACCACACUGGAAGGGGAUUUCCAAGGAACAAUUCCACCGACUUGAGUCAAGAGGUGGAGUCAGGAAAUGCCAGGAAGGGAAAUUAUAAACUCAGUGGAAAGAAGAAGAAGGACAAGAGCAGAAUUCAGUGCUUUAACUACAAGAGAUGGGGCCACUUUGUAUCAGAAUGUAAACUCAGAAUGAAGAGUAAAGAUGUAGAGGCAAGUCUAGCCAAGGAAGAAGACUCGGAUGAAGAAGUCUUGUUAAUGGCAGAAGGUGAGGUGGUUGACUUGGAGUUAAGCACAUCAGAUGAGAAACUACUAAUGAUCAAUACAAAGGGUGAUCAACAUUUCUCAUCCAAUAGUUGGUACUUGGAUACAGAAUAUUCAAACCAUAUGUCUGGACAUAGGGAAUGGUUCAUGAACUUUGAUGAUUCAGUAAAGACCAAGGUAAGAUUUGCAAAUGAUAGUUACAUCAUUGCAGAAGGAAUUGGCAAGGUGUUGAUAAGAAGAAAAGAUGAAUCCAACUCAUAUAUCUCAAAUGUACACUAUGUGCCAAAGAUGAAGAAUAAUUUGAUAAGUCUGGGUCAACUACUAGAAAAAGGGUACAAGAUGAGAAUGGAAGAUAUGAUGCUGAAGAUUUUCAAUAAGAAGAAUGCACUCAUCAUGAAAGCUCCCCUCUCACAUAAUAGGACAUUCAAAAUUGGCCUCAACCUUGGUGACAGAAGAUGCCUAGAGACCAUAGCAGAGGAGACUUGGAUUUGGCACCACAGACUUGGACACUUAAUCUUCAAAAGUGUAGAAAAGUUGAGUCAAGAAAGAUUGGUCACAGGACUACCCAACAUCAGGAUUUCUACUGAAUUGUGUGAAGAAUGCAUCACAAGUAAGCAAUCAAGGAACUCCUUUAAGCCACAUGUAUCAUCUAGAACGACCAAGCCAUUGGAAGUAGUAUAUACUGAUGUAUGUGGCCCUCUAGCAGUUUAGUCCCUUGGAGGAAACAACUAUUUUGUAACUAUUUUGUAAAGACAAAGAGAUUACCAAAGAAGUUCUGGGGUGAAGCAGUGGCAACAGCAGCCUACAUAAUAAACAGAUGUCCCACAAAAAGGUUGAACAAAGUGACUCCAGAAGAAGCCUGGUCUGGUGUUAAGCCAAGUGUGAAACACCUUAAGGUGUUUGGGGCAAUAUGCUAUAAACAUAUCCCUGACAACAAGAGAAGAAAGCUGGAUGAUAAAGGAGAAAGGUUGAUCUUCUUACGAUAUCAUUCUACUGGUGCAUACAAGCUAUACAAUCCAAACUCUAAUGUCAUAUCAUAUAGUAGAGAUCUCAGGUUUGAUAAGACUCAGCCCUGGGAUUGGGAUUUAGUUGAUAAGCCAUCAAACAACCUAAGCCAGAUGGAUAUUAGCACCUCACAAGGAACUCUAGUGAGCAACACAACAAGAGAAGACAAUGCAGAAACUAGUGAGAAGCCUCAAAGACAAAGAAACAUGCCUGCAAGAUUGAGAGACUAUGAAGUCUUCUCAGAUACAACAAUCACAUCAGAGGGAGAUUUGGUCCACAUGGCUCUUCUAGCUGAGAUGGAACCUCUAACCUUUGAGCAAGCAGCCAAACAAGUCUGUUGGACUGAAGCAAUGCCGAAAGAGAUAAGGUCAAUAGAGAAAAAUAAGACAUGGGAACUCACAUCAUUGCCCAAAGGAAAGAAAGCAAUUGCAGUGAAAUGGGUCUACAAGUUGAAGCUCAAACCAGAUGGGUCAGUGGCCAAGUAUAAGGCCAGGUUAGUUGCAUAAGGAUUCUUACAAAAGCCUGGUCUAGACUUUGAUGAAGUCUUCGCACCUGUUGCAAGAAUUGAGUCUAUCAGGCUGAUUAUUGCAAUAGCAAGUUCAAAGAAUUGGAGCUUGAGCCAGAUGGACGUGAAAUCAACAUUUUUAAAUGGUCCUUUGGAUAGAAAAGUGUUUGUGACACAACCUCUAGGCUUUGAAGUUCCAGGUCAAGAACAUAAAGUCUAUAGAUUACACAAGGCACUCUAUGGACUGAGACAAGCCCCUAGGGCAUGGAACAAAAGAAUAGAUGGAUUCCUUCUCAAACAGGGCCUCAUUAGAUGCACGAGUGAACAUGGAAUCUACAUCAAGAGCUCACCUACAACCGCAUCAGUCAUAAUAUGUUUGUAUGUAGAUGAUCUCUCGAUAAUAGGAUGCAGAGACGAUGAAAUAGAAGGCAUGAAGACAAAGCUGAAGUCAGAAUUUGAAAUGUCUGAUCUAGGCAAUUUGUCAUACUUUCUUGGACUAGAAUUUGUAAGAUUAGAGGAAGGCACAAUAAUGCAUCAGAAGAAAUAUAUUACUAAUGUGCUGAAGAAGUUUGACAUACUUAACUGCAACUCAAGCUCCACACCAGUAGAGACUGGAAAUGUGUUGUGCAAAAGAAAUCCAGAUGAUCAAAAGGUUGAUGCAACACUCUACAGGUAGAUGGUAGGGUCACUAAGAUACAUUUGUAACUCUAGACCAGACAUCACCUAUGGAGUUGGCCUUGUUAGUAGACAUAUGGAAGAUCCAUGGAACUCUCACAUGAUGGCUGUCAAAAGACUUCUUAGAUACCUAAAGGGAAGAAUCAAUUUUGGUGUAUUGUUCCCUGUCAACAAAGGCAACAAACCAAUCUCAGUGUAUGGUUACACUGAUGCAUAUUGGAGUGGAGACAGAGAUGAUAGAAAGAGCACAACUGGUUACCUAUUCAAGCUUGGAGAGACGCCUAUUAGAUGGAGCUCGAAAAAACAGGAAGUAGUGGCACUCUCAUCAUUUGAAGCUGAAUACAUUGCAGUUUGCUUGGGUGGUUGUCAAGGCUUAUGGUUGCAAUCUCUGCUAGCAGAGCUGGGAGUAUGCUGUGAUGACUCAAUGCUUCUAUUAAUGGACAACAAAUCAGCAAUUUGCUUGGCUAAGAACCCUGUGGCACAUGGUAGAAGCAAGCACAUAGACACAAAGUACCACUUCUUGAGAGAUCAAGUGGAGAAACAAAAUCCGAGACUAGAGUUCUAUCCAUCAGAGGAGCAACAAGCUGACAUUUUAACAAAGCCUUUGAAGAAGGAGAGCUUCGAAAAACGGAGGAAGAGGCUAGGUGUUCUAAGUGAAGCUAGCUUGAAUUAAGGGAGAAUGUUAAGUAUAACUCAAUGUAAUUCAAAUAGGUUUAGUGUAGAAACUAAUUGGGCUUUGUUGUAUUUGUAAUUGGGGUUGGUAGUUGAAACUUACCAUAAAUAGAAAGUUCAGGUUGUUAAUCAACAACCAAUUCAUUCCAUUUUUAUCUUCUUUACUAUUCAUCAUAUUCAAGUCGUCCUCAACUUUCUUUCUUUCUUCUUCGUAUGAUUCUUCUUUCAUUGCUAAAUCUAACAGAUUCAGCUCCAAGGUAACCCUUUAAAUACCUCUAUGAAAUACAAAGAUGGAUAAACCCAAGUGAACAUAACUUCCUUAAUAUUUAGUAUUCCAGUUGCUCAAGUCCUUACUCUUCACCUAAAGGCUAAAGCUAUUCCUUUCAAAAACCUAAACCUUACUAUCAUCAACAAUGAACACAACACUUUUUCAUGAGCUAGUUAUUCGAACAUCAAUCAUCUCAAAAACAUAUGACAAGCUUGAGAAGUCAGUUACAGUUAGCAGAUACUUACCUGAUCCAGCCAUCCAAUGUUAAUAUUCCACCACAACUUCAAAGCAAAGUGGAGUAAAUUCGAUUACAAACAACCUUGGAAGGAAAACCAAUAGUCUUUCACAAGGAGUUCGAGAACAUAGGAGAUUGGCACCAAAGAUAUCUGAAACUGUUAAGGGGAAGCUGAGCUUAGGGGCACAAAUCCUUAAAGCAGGUGGAUUGAGAGAGAUGAUGACCCUUUUUCCUCAAGCCACCGUGAUAAACGGUGGUUCCCACUGUGGCUGCCACCUUCAUCAAUCAAGUCGUCAUCAUGGUUCCUUGGAUGACUUAGUUUCAACUGUUGAAAGCUCUGUGGCCACCAUAGUCUCCCUCCACUGGUCUGAAUCGAAGCCAUCACCGGAGAGGAAGGGAUGGAGAAGAUGAUUGUCCAUUCUUGGAGCCACCAUCACGAGCCUCACCUCCUCUAGAGAAGAACUCACCAUCGCCGCCUCUCACUGCCGUUGGAGAGUGAAGAGGAGAUAAUAAUGGUUAGAUUUGGGUUCCCUUGUUUGCCACAAGAAUAUGAGGGUUCACUUGGUUUCAUC
rnacentral:lncRNA from 1 species